GGUUAUCACUAUCCCUGUCCUCAUCCCUGUCCCCAUUCCAGGGAGUACUGGUGUCACCAACCCUGUCCUCAUCCCUGUCCCCAUUCCAGGGGGUACUGCUCCUGGCUCUCACCAUCCCUGUCUUCAUCCCUGUCCCCCAUUCCAGGGGGUACUGGUGUCACCAACCCUCUCCUCAUCCCUGUCCCCAUUCCAGCUGGUUCUGGCUGUCACCAUUCCUGUCCCCAUCCCUGUCCCCAUUCCAGGGGGGCCUGGUGUCCCUAUCCCUGUCCCCAUUCCAGGGAGUACUGCUCCUGGCUGUCACCAACCCUGUCCUCAUCCCUGUCCCCAUUCCAGCUGGUACUGGCCAUGGUUAUCACCAACCCUGUCUCCAUCCCUGUCCCCAUUCCAGCUGGUUCUGGCUGUCACCAUUCCUGUCCCCUAUCCCUGUCCCCACUCCAGGGGGUCCUGGUGUCACCAACCCUGUCCCCAUUCCAGCUGGUGCUGGUCCUGGCUGUCACCAUUCCUGCCACUGUCCCCUUCCCUAUGUCCACUCCCAUCCCACUCCCUGCAGGUACCACCCCUGGCUGUCCUUGUCCCCGUCAUCAUUCCCAUCGUCAUCCGUGUCCCUGUCCCCAUCCCCACCACCCUCCCUGCAGGUGUCCAGCCUGGAUUCCACCCAGAUCCCAACUGGGAUCCAGCUCAGAUCCUACAGAGGAACCAGCCCAGAUCACCCCCGAUCACUCGGCAGGAUCAUUUCUGCCCCAUCCCUCUCCCCAUCCACAUCCCUGUCUCCAUCCCUGUCCCUGUCCCCAUCCCUGUCCCCAUCUCCAUCCAUGAUCACAGGGAUACCAUCACUCCCGUUGCUUCCCUUUCUCCCUGCAGGUCCCAGCCCUGGCCCCAAGCCCUCUGUCCACCCUACUUGUCCCCAUCCCCAUCCCUGUCCCUGUCCACACCCCUGUCCCCAUCCCCAUCCCUGUCCCCAUCCCCGAUCACAGCGAUCCCAUCACUCCCAUUGCUUCCAUUUCUCCCCGCAGGCCCCAGCCCUGGCUGUCCCUGUCCCCAACCCCUCCAUCCCUUCCUGCCUGUCCCCAUCCCUGUCCCCAUCCCUGUCCCCAUCCCUGUCCCCAUCCCUCCCGCUGUCCCAUAACCCGUCCCCUCACAGAUGGCUAUUGGCCCACCAUGUCCUCGUGCACGGAGCGUCAACAGAAUGGACUCGUC
rnacentral:lncRNA from 1 species